UGGCUUGUCGGUUGAUCUCUCUGUGUCGGUCGUACGACACAAUCUCUUCUAAGACCUCGCCAUCGCCUUUUAUUAACCUGGAAAAAAUAAACCACUGAGGAGCAGCAAAGAUAUUUAGAUUUAUUUAUAUUUUGUAUACAUAAUCCAUA